CGAGGUAGCUCAGUGGUAGAGCAACGGACUGAAAAUCCGUGUGUCGGCAGUUCGACCCUGCCCC
rnacentral:tRNA from 1 species